UGUGUGUGUGAUAUGGUAGAACGUAUGUAUUGCUGAAGCCUCGUCUUAUUGUUUUAUUUUACGAUAGAAUGCAUUUAAUUAUGAUAUAUCAGUUAUAGAUUUAGUCAUAGAUCUCGCAAAUUUGUAUUCGGAUGAAGUAUGUAGGUCAAAUGGAUUCAUAUUAUACAGGUGAAUGUGCACGUUACAAUUCCUUCUUGUUUGACUGAUGUUAAUAGAGUCCCCACCUGUCCAAGAACAAAAGAGCAAUGGCUUGUAUCGGAAGAGAAGAAAGGCUGCUCUAGAAUUUCCCUUAAGUGUAAUAACAUGGCUCCUCUCAAAUACCACUGUCUUAUAAAUGCAUGGAGAAAUGCGACAUUUGAGUUAUGUGGCCCCGAUACGGAUAUCAUAGGGUUUUCCUGUGCAGAGUACAACGAAGGAGGGGAAAGGAUUCAACCAAAUUUUGAGAAUAAAUGUGACAAUUUCAGCAACUCCUGUCCAUUCA